rnacentral:rRNA from 1 species
GACGAACGCUGGCGGCGUGCUUAACACAUGCAAGUCGAGCGGUAAGGCCUUUCGGGGUACACGAGCGGCGAACGGGUGAGUAACACGUGGGUGAUCUGCCCUGCACUUCGGGAUAAGCCUGGGAAACUGGGUCUAAUACCGGAUAUGACCUCCUAUCGCAUGGUGGGUGGUGGCAAGAUUUAUCGGUGCAGGAUGGGCCCGCGGCCUAUCAGCUUGUUGGUGGGGUAAUGGCCUACCAAGGCGACGACGGGUAGCCGACCUGAGAGGGUGACCGGCCACACUGGGACUGAGACACGGCCCAGACUCCUACGGGAGGCAGCAGAGGGGAAUAUUGCACAAUGGGCGAAAGCCUGAUGCAGCGACGCCGCGUGAGGGAUGACGGCCUUCGGGUUGUAAACCUCUUUCAGCAGGGACGAAGCGCAAGUGACGGUACCUGCAGAAGAAGCACCGGCUAACUACGUG